rnacentral:rRNA from 1 species
AUACGGAGGAUCCGAGCGUUAUCCGGAUUUAUUGGGUUUAAAGGGAGCGUAGGUGGACAGUUAAGUCAGUUGUGAAAGUUUGCGGCUCAACCGUAAAAUUGCAGUUGAUACUGGCUGUCUUGAGUACAGUAGAGGUGGGCGGAAUUCGUGGUGUAGCGGUGAAAUGCUUAGAUAUCACGAAGAACUCCGAUUGCGAAGGCAGCCCACUGGACUGCAACUGACACUGAUGCUCGAAAGUGUGGGUAUCAAACAGGACUAGAUACCCUGGUAGUCCACACAGUAAACGAUGAAUACUCGCUGUUUACGAUAUACAGUAAGCGGCCAAGCGAAAGCAUUAAGUAUUCCACCUGGGGAGUACGCCGGCAACGGUGAAACUCAAAGGAAUUGACGGGGGCCCGCACAAGCGGAGGAACAUGUGGUUUAAUUCGAUGAUACGCGAGGAACCUUACCCGGGCUUAAAUUGCAUUUGAAUAUAUUGGAAACAGUAUAGUCGUAAGACAAAUGUGAAGGUGCUGCAUGGUUGUCGUCAGCUCGUGCCGUGAGGUGUCGGCUUAAGUGCCAUAACGAGCGCAACCCUUAUCUUUAGUUACUAACAGGUCAUGCUGAGGACUCUAGAGAGACUGCCGUCGUAAGAUGUGAGGAAGGUGGGGAUGACGUCAAAUCAGCACGGCCCUUACGUCCGGGGCUACACACGUGUUACAAUGGGGGGUACAGAAGGCAGCUACCUGGUGACAGGAUGCUAAUCCCAAAAGCCUCUCUCAGUUCGGAUCGAAGUCUGCAACCCGACUUCGUGAAGCUGGAUUCGCUAGUAAUCGCGCAUCAGCCAUGGCGCGGUGAAUACGUUCCCGGGCCUUGUACACACCGCCCGUCAAGCCAUGAAAGCCGGGGGUACCUGAAGUACGUAACCGCAAGGAGCGUCCUAGGGUAAAACUGGUAAUUGGGGCU